rnacentral:rRNA from 1 species
UACGUAGGGGGCAAGCGUUGUCCGGAAUCACUGGGCGUAGAGAGUGCGUAGGCGGUUGUGUAAGUCUGGAGUGAAAGGCCAAGGCUCAACCUUGGGAAUGCUUCGGAAACUGGAUGACUUGAGUGCUGGAGAGGCAAGGGGAAUUCCACGUGUAGCGGUGAAAUGCGUAGAUAUGUGGAGGAAUACCAGUGGCGAAGGCGCCUUGCUGGACAGAAACUGACGCUGAGGCACGAAAGCGUGGGGAGCAAACAGG